rnacentral:rRNA from 1 species
CUCAUUAAAUCAGUUAUAGUUUAUUUGAUGGUCUCUUUUGUCUUUUUUUACCUACUUGGAUAACCGUGGUAAUUCUAGAGCUAAUACAUGCGCAAGGUCCCGAGCGCGGGGGGCAGGGGCUUCACGGCCCUGUCCUCGCAUGCGCAGAGGGAUGUAUUUAUUAGGUUAAAAACCAGCACGCUGGCGACAGCGUCCAAUUCACUGGUGAUUCAUAGUAACUCUUUCGGAUCGCAUUCAUG